rnacentral:rRNA from 1 species
UCUACGGGAGGCAGCAGUGGGGAAUUUUGGACAAUGGGCGCAAGCCUGAUCCAGCAAAAUGGCGUGCGGGAAGAAGGCCUUCGGGUUGUAAACCGCAUUAGGCAGGAACGAAACGGUUCCGUUAAUACCGGAAGAUAAUGACGUACUCAG